rnacentral:rRNA from 1 species
UAGGGAAUCUUCCGCAAUGGACGCAAGUCUGACGGAGCAACGCCGCGUGAGUGAAGAAGGAUUUCGGUUCGUAAAACUCUGUUGUUAGAGAAGAACAGCGCAUAGAGUAACUGUUAUGCGUGUGACGGUAUCUAACCAAAAAGCCACGGCUAACUACGUGCCAGCAGCCGCGGUAAUACGUAGGUGGCAAGCGUUGUCCGGAUUUAUUGGGCGUAAAGCGAGCGCAGGCGGUCAAUUAAGUCUGAUGUGAAAGCCACCGGCUCAACCGGGGAGGGUCAUUGGAAACUGGUUGACUUGAGUGCAGAAGAGGAGAGUGGAAUUCCAUGUGUAGCGGUGAAAUGCGUAGAUAUAUGGAGGAACACCAGUGGCGAAGGCGACUCUCUGGUCUGUAACUGACGCUGAGGCUCGAAAGCGUGGGUAGCAAACAGG